UGAUUGUCCAAACGCAAUUCUUGUAUCACUUGUCUGUAUCUAGGAGUUGUGGAUGGACAUCACG
rnacentral:pre_miRNA from 1 species